UACAGAGGGGGCAAGCGUUGUUCGGAAUUACUGGGCGUAAAGGGCGCGUAGGCGGCCUGUUAAGUCGGACGUGAAAUCCCCGGGCUCAACCCGGGAACUGCGUCCGAUACUGGCAGGCUUGAAUUCGGGAGAGGGAUGCGGAAUUCCAGGUGUAGCGGUGAAAUGCGUAGAUAUCUGGAGGAACACCGGUGGCGAAGGCGGCAUCCUGGACCGAGAUUGACGCUGAGGCGCGAAAGCGUGGGGAGCAAACAGG
rnacentral:rRNA from 1 species